rnacentral:rRNA from 1 species
GUCCACGCCCUAAACGAUGCGAACUGGACGUUGGGAUCAAUUGAGAUUUCAGUGUCGAAGCUAACGCGUUAAGUUCGCCGCCUGGGGAGUACGGUCGCAAGACUGAAACUCAAAGGAAUUGACGGGGGCCCCGCACAAGCGGUGGAGUAUGUGGUUUAAUUCGAUGCAACGCGAAGAACCUUACCUGGUCUUGACAUGCACGGAAUCCUUUAGAGAUAGAGGAGUGCCUUCGGGAACCGUGACACAGGUGCUGCAUGGCUGUCGU